GACGUAGGGCGCGAGCGUUGUCCGGAUUUAUUGGGCGUAAAGAGCUCGUAGGCGGCUUGUCGCGUCGACUGUGAAAUCCCGCGGCUCAACUGCGGGUCUGCAGCCGAUACGGGCAGGCUAGAGUUCGGUAGGGGAGACUGGAAUUCCUGGUGUAGCGGUGAAAUGCGCAGAUAUCAGGAGGAACACCGGUGGCGAAGGCGGUUCUCUGGGCAUUACCUGACGCUGAGGAGCGAAAGUGUGGGGAGCGAACAGG
rnacentral:rRNA from 1 species